GCCCCCAUUAAUGCAAAAAGGGUCAACACAGGGAAAGUUGUGGCUGACCUGACACAGCAAGCAAAGACGGGUCCAUUCAUCUUUGAUGGUGAGGUGUUCAGUGCCGUCCAAGAGAGGCUCAUCCCUGUUAAACAGGAAGCUGCUACACAGCCAGCACAUACUUCAAUUCUUCAAGCUCUUUGUGGUCUUUAUUAGGACUCACCACACCAGCUCAAACCAAAUGCAGCGAAGGACAACGACAGGCGUGUUCGGAAAUACGCUCUGUGCGCACAGUGGUUCACUCAUUCAGAAA